UACGUAGGGUGCAAGCGUUAUCCGGAAUUAUUGGGCGUAAAGAGCUCGUAGGCGGUUUGUCGCGUCUGCUGUGAAAACUGGAGGCUCAACCUCCAGCCUGCAGUGGGUACGGGCAGACUAGAGUGCGGUAGGGGAGAUUGGAAUUCCUGGUGUAGCGGUGGAAUGCGCAGAUAUCAGGAGGAACACCGGUGGCGAAGGCGGGUCUCUGGGCAACUGACUGACGCUGAGGAGCGAAAGCGUGGGGAGCGAACAGG
rnacentral:rRNA from 1 species